rnacentral:rRNA from 1 species
GUGGCGAGUGGCGCAUGGGUGAGUAAUACAUCGGAACGUGCCCAGUCGUGGGGGAUAACGUAGCGAAAGUUACGCUAAUACCGCAUACGAUCUACGGAUGAAAGCGGGGGACCGUAAGGCCUCGCGCGAUUGGAGCGGCCGAUGUCAGAUUAGGUAGUUGGUGAGGUAAAGGCUCACCAAGCCGACGAUCUGUAGCUGGUCUGAGAGGACGACCAGCCACACUGGGACUGAGACACGGCCCAGACUCCUACGGGAGGCAGCAGUGGGGAAUUUUGGACAAUGGGCGCAAGCCUGAUCCAGCCAUUCCGCGUGCAGGACGAAGGCCUUCGGGUUGUAAACUGCUUUUGUACGGAACGAAAAGGCUCUGGUUAAUACCUGGGGCUCAUGACGGUACCGUAAGAAUAAGCACCGGCUAACUACGUGCCAGCAGCCGCGGUAAUACGUAGGGUGCAAGCGUUAAUCGGAAUUACUGGGCGUAAAGCGUGCGCAGGCGGUGAUGUAAGACAGAUGUGAAAUCCCCGGGCUCAACCUGGGAACUGCAUUUGUGACUGCAU